rnacentral:rRNA from 1 species
CCAGACUCCUACGGGAGGCAGCAGUGGGGAAUAUUGCACAAUGGGGGAAACCCUGAUGCAGCGACGCCGCGUGAGUGAAGAAGUAUUUCGGUAUGUAAAGCUCUAUCAGCAGGGAAGAUAAUGACGGUACCUGACUAAGAAGCCCCGGCUAACUACGUGCCAGCAGCCGCGGUAAUACGUAGGGGGCAAGCGUUAUCCGGAUUUACUGGGUGUAAAGGGUGCGUAGGUGGCAGGGCAAGUCAGAUGUGAAAGCCCGGGGCUCAACCCCGGUACUGCAUUUGAAACUGUCCAGCUGGAGUGCAGGAGAGGUAAGCGGAAUUCCUAGUGUAGCGGUGAAAUGCGUAGAUAUUAGGAGGAACACCAGUGGCGAAGGCGGCUUACUGGACUGUAACUGACACUGAGGCACGAAAGCGUGGGGAGCAAACAGGAUUAGAUACCCUUGUA